rnacentral:rRNA from 1 species
CUGCUGCCUUCCGUAGGAGUUUGGGCCGUGUCUCAGUCCCAAUGUGGCCGUCCACCCUCUCAGGCCGGCUACUGAUCGUCGCCUUGGUGGGCCUUUACCCCACCAACCAGCUAAUCAGACGCGGGCCCAUCUUGCACCACCGGAAUUUUUCACACCGGACCAUGCGGCCCUGUGCGCUUAUGCGGUAUUAGCACCUAUUUCUAAGUGUUAUCCCCCAGUGCAAGGCAGGUUACCCACGCGUUACUCACCCGUCCGCCACUAAAG